rnacentral:rRNA from 1 species
AAGUCGUAACAAGGUAACCGUAGGUGAACCUGCGGUUGGAUCAUUAAAAAUCAGAGUUUUAGAACUCGCACUAGACUGCUUUAUAGUAGUCUGGUAGACCCCUGUGAAUUGUUGGCACUUUAAUGUGUACUUUACUUUAUAAUGACUGAAUCAAGUAGAUUAAUUAAAAUAACUUUUAACAACGGAUCUCUUGGCUCCCGCAACGAUGAAGAACGCAGCGAAAUGCGAUACGUAAUGUGAAUUGCAGACCGUGAAUCAUCUAAUCUUUGAACGCAUAUUGCGCUCCCUGGUAUUCCGGAGAGCAUGCCUGUUUGAGAAUCGACAAACAACAUCAACCCCUUGGGAUUUUACAAACGUAGAUUUCAGGUGGUUGGACUUGGACACUUAUCGUCACUGAUAACGUCUGUAAAACAGCGUCGACCUUGGCUUCAUUGUUACUUGGAACGUAUUUACUUGACUCUGGUCAUUAACUUGCGAUUAUCCACUGUGGCAGUUAAGUGAAGACAUUGGCGACUAAGACCGCAAAGUCAAAACACUUACCGUGUUAAACUUGGUCUCAAAUCAGGCAAGAGUACCCGCUGAACUUAAGCAUAUCAAUAAGCGGAGGAAAAGAAACUAACAAGGAUUCCCCUAGUAACGGCGAGUGAAGCGGGAAGUGCUCAAAUUUGAAAUCUCGUAGGUUCCCUGCGCGAAUUGUAGUUUAGAGAAAUGUUUUCGGGGGUAAACUAAGUUAAAGUCUCCUGGAACGGAGUAUCGUAGAGGGUGAUAAUCCCGUGCUUGGCUUAGAGCUUACUCCCAUGUGAUACAUUUUCAAAGAGUCGGGUUGUUUGGGAAUGCAGCCCAAAAUGGGUGGUAAACACCAUCUAAAGCUAAAUAAUGGCGGGAGACCGAUAGCGAACAAGUACCGUGAGGGAAAGAUGAAAAGAACUUUGAAAAGAGAGUUAAAUAGUACGUGAAAUUGUUAAAAGGGAAACGUUUGAAACCAGUAUUGAGGCUUGACACCCAGCGUAGUCUAUGGAUUGCGUUGCUCUAUCAAGACUCAAGUCAACAUCAGUUUGACUUGGAGUAAACGCUGCGAGGAAGGUAACCUUUGGGUAUUAUAGCCUUGUAGUAUGCUCCGGGUUGGACUGAGGAUCGCAGCACAGUCUUGGGGGAACCUAUUGCCUCUUGAUGGCGUUGUGUAGACUGCUUGCAGACUGCACUUGGCUUCAGAGAGAUCGGUGGGUGUACCACUCUUGUGCUUAAGAUGUUGACGAAAUGGUUUUAAGCGACC